AGUUAAACAGUACGUGAAAUUGUUGAAAGGGAAACGAUUGAAGUCAGUCAUACUAACGGGAAAUCAACCUCUUGAGUUUGGUCUCGUGGGUUUCGAAGAGUUUAAAAGCCUUCGGAUUUUCGAGAUUGGGCUCUUCUGGUGUACUUUCUCGUACGGUUAGUCAACAUCGGUUUUGAAUGUCAUAAAAUGACUGGAGGAAUGUGGCUUCGAUCUCGUAUUGAAGUGUUAUAACCUUUGGUAGAUGUGAUGUUUGAGACCGAGGAUUGCAACGGAUACCCUUCUGGGCUAUUCGUCUGAUCUCUGAAACGUUGCCUUGAUGUCGAAAGCUUGCUUAUGAUGUUAGGGUAUUACGGUCAAAAGGUUAGAACGGAUUAAAUUCGUUAAGGAUGUUGACGUAAUGACUUUAAA
rnacentral:misc_RNA from 1 species